UACAGAGGUGGCAAGCGUUGUUCGGAAUUACUGGGCGUAAAGGGCGCGUAGGCGGCCUUCUAAGUCAGACGUGAAAUCCCCCGGCUUAACCUGGGAACUGCGUCUGAUACUGGGAGGCUUGAGUAUGGGAGAGGGAUGUAGAAUUCCAGGUGUAGCGAUGAAAUGCGUAGAUAUCGAGAGGAACACCUGCGGCGAAGGCGGGUUGCUGGGCUGAUACUGACGCUGAGGCGCGAAAGCCAGGGGAGCGAACGGG
rnacentral:rRNA from 1 species